rnacentral:misc_RNA from 1 species
AUGGUGUAUUGUUCUCAUUUGUUCAAGCAAAUUAACCAAAUUUAAAAACAUAUAAUUUUUUUUUGUCCAAAAUUUAUAUGGUAAUCUUCUUGGAAGGAAAAUGCUUUUUCUACAGAAAAUAUUUUAUUCACUGGAGUUAUUUUCUCCUGAGCAAAUGGAACCUUAGUUCCCAACUACCUUGAUGAUAGAUUCCUCUUGGAAAGUGU